rnacentral:tRNA from 1 species
ACAGAGGUCCUGCUUGCCGUCCCUUUGUAUUAUCUGUAAAGCUGGUAUUUUACCUUUUUCAAGUUUUUUUUUCCCAAAUGGCAUACCCCUCAAGUCAGUGACGCCUUCCCUGAUCAUCCUGUUCAAAACUGCACUCAAAUACUCGCAGCGCCCUUUACUGUUUUAUUUUUCUCCACAUAUUUACUACCAUCUAAAAUUGUACUUAUUUUACUAAUGUAUCUGUCUGUCUCCUCUCACUGGAAAGUGAACUCCUCAAAGGGAGGAAUUUUUGAUGGUUUAAUUUCCCCUGCUUCCCUGCAUCCACAAGCGUGUGGCACUUUAGGCCCUCAGUUACAACGAGCCAAUGGAUGAGUGAAUGCACACCGGGUACUGUGCUAGGUCCUUCAGUCCCCAUUGUACUGAGACUUGUGUAGGUCAGGCCACAGCCACUCGGGUUCAUUUCUGCCUUCUGCACCAUGCUACCCUCCCAGUUGGCCUUCCUAGAGCCUUUGUUCUUGCCUAAGGGAGCGCCACGGCUCCAGAACUUCUCAGUGUAAAAGGCACUGCUGGAGUCACAGAUGCACCCACCUUGAUGCAGGGGCCAGUCUGGGCCACAGCCCUUUGACCCAGCACCUCAUCCCAUUUCCAAAUGCUUUCUACCAUGGGCGGGGGUCGCUGUGUAUCUGUCCUGCAAUUAAUGUGAAGGAAAAAGCCUCCUUUGAAAAACUGGUGAAGAGUUUAGAUUUUUUACCUUCAUAUAAUGUGCCAUAUAAUCGUUUUAUGGAUGCUAGUAUUAAGGAUGAUUCCAUUAGUGAGGGAAAGUCCUUUCACUUGACCUGUGAUUUCUAAACACUGGAUAUUUUAGUUUUUUAUAUGUAUACCACACUUAGACCAUUGUAGUAUAAAUAUAGCAUUACUUCAUUGUUUUUAAAAAUAAUCAGUUGGAGUUCCUGUCAUGGCUCAGUGGUUAACGAAUCUGACUAGGAACCAUGAGGUUGCGGGUUCGAUCCUUGGCCUUGUUCAGUGGGUUAAGAAUCCGGCGUUGCUGUGAGCUGUGGUGUAGGUCACAGAGGUGGCUCGGAUCUUGCGUUGCUGUGGCUGUGGCUUAGGCUGGCAGGUAUAGCUCUGAUUAGACCCCCUAGACUGGGAACCUCCAUAUGCUUCAGGAGCAUAGAGAAGGCAAAAAGACACACACACACACACACACACACACAUCAGCUAUUCUGAUAUGUAAAAAUGCAUGCAUCUUAAUAAUCCACAGUGUCUUUAUGUUGACAGUGUGAAUAAAUAAUAUCAUAAUUGAUCACAGUAAAUUCAGCAGCAGUGAAAGAGUCUGUUGUUUCAUUAUUCCUACUUCGCUUUUUCUUACAGGACAAAGUUCUAAAAACAUCAGUUCAUCUCCAAGUAUUGAGAGUCUGCCUGGAGGAAGGGAGUUUACAGGCUCCCCACCAUCAUCUGCUACUAAAAAGGACUCCUUUUUCAGCAGCAUCUCCCGUUCCCGCUCACACAGCAAAACUAUGGGCAGAAAAGAAUCUGUAAGUAUUUCAAGGAUGGUCUCUUUUUAUCCUUCAUUUUUCUCUAGAGUGGUGCAUUUUUAAAAGUUUUAUGAAGUUCUUAAAAUUUGUUGUAACUAAAAUGAAUUAUUUCAUCAAAAAUAUUUUAAUUUUAUUAUCAUUCAGUAUUUUUUUGUUUAUUCCCACAGCAUUUGGAAGUUCCCAAGGCCAAGGAUUGAACUUGAGCCACAGCAGUGACAGUGCCAGAGCCUUAACCACUAGGCCACCAGGGAACUCCUAGUUUAGUAAUGUUUUAAGGCUCUGGUCAAUAUUACACUGGGGGGAAGAAAGUAGCAUCGAUUUAAAAUAAGUUAAAUUCCAAAUCUUGGUCCCCCUUUUUUUUUUCUCUACAAAUGCCUUUGUCAAAGCCUGUGCUUUCUUCUAAAAUAUAACAGAUAGCAUGGUACCAAAUGAGAGAAUAAGACACUUAAAAUGAACCAAGCUGUUUUUUCAGCUUAAAGUAUUUCUUGAAAACUAAAAUUAACUAUUUUACCAAUUGUCUUUAACAGUUACGCAAAUUACAUUGAAAUUAUGGUAUAUUGAUAGCUACUCUCUAAGCUCCUUUGUUUACAUUACUUAAAAGGACAUAACUAAAGCAUAUCAACUACUUAAAAAAUCUGUUUCUGAAAAAAAUUUUAAGUCGUCUUCACAGGAAACAAAACAUUUAGUCACAUUUUAUAGUUAGUUCAACACUCGAUAUUCUAAUAUGCAGAAUUCAUCUGCCUGUUGGAAGUGGGUGCAAAUGUAAAAUAUUACAGAAAAGAACCUAACUAUUGCUGAAACAGUGCUAAGAUGGGGAGGAAGGAAACUUGUGAAACCUUUGAGGGAUAAUUAUUUAUGGCACAUAGACUAGGUAACAGCGUGAAGUCUAUCUGCGUGACUUUAUGACCUUGCAUGAAACACUCAGCUUCCUGGUGCUUCAGCCACCUCCUCUGUAAUUUAAACAACAUACUUUGCUCUCUGAAGGGAAGAGUUCACUACAUACUCUCUUGGAGUGCGUUCCUUGUGUAAGAACUGUGAUUUUCUAAUUUGUAGAAGAGCAGAACAGCAGCUUUAAUGCAACCAGUUAGCUCUGCUCCCUCCUAAACUCCACUCCAAGGACAGUUAAGGUUGUUAUGAUAAACCCUCGAGGAAUAAGGAAACAGAGAUGACAACAGCAAAAAGAUGCUGUUACUCGGAAAGCAGAUGUUAAGUGGAAACUAACUUAGCAGCCUAAGAAAGCUCAAUGCUAAGCCAGCAGUAGGGAAAAACCAAGAAGCAACUUGACUUAGAUGGCAAAACCUUCUAGAAGCUCAGGAACUGGAAAUGGGGUGAAAGUGGUGGUGGAGACGUGGUGACUGCUCACAAGUCUCUAGAAGAAGCAAGUAGACUUCCUCACUCUGGAGAAGACUGGAGGUUUCAUUCUCUAGAAAGUGUGAAACAGUGUCUCUGGACUGAGAGAGAUCAGGAGUAAUUGCUUAUGGGAAAUAUGCAGCCUUCCUAGAAAGAGGGUGUUGAAUGUAUUUGAAUACUGAAUGGAGAUCCUCAGACCUCACCCCACUUGCUUCCCAGAAUACCAGUAAGUAUUUCUUUUCAGGCAGGAGGUUGGAAGGGUUUUCUCUGGGCAAGAGUCACAAAUUAAAAAAAAAAACAAAAAAAA